rnacentral:rRNA from 1 species
AUUGAACGCUGGCGGCAUGCUUUACACAUGCAAGUCGAACGGUAACAGGCCGCAAGGUGCUGACGAGUGGCGAACGGGUGAGUAAUGCAUCGGAACGUGCCCAGUCGUGGGGGAUAACGCAGCGAAAGCUGUGCUAAUACCGCAUACGAUCUGUGGAUGAAAGCGGGGGACCGAAAGGCCUCGCGCGAUUGGAGCGGCCGAUGUCAGAUUAGGUAGUUGGUGGGGUAAAGGCUCACCAAGCCAACGAUCUGUAGCUGGUCUGAGAGGACGACCCGCCACAAUGGGGAUGAGACACGGCCCAGACUCCUACGGGGGGCAGGAGUGGGGAAUUUUGGACAAUGGGCGCAAGCCUGAUCCAGCAAUGCCGCGUGCAGGAAGAAGGCCUUCGGGUUGUAAACUGCUUUUGUACGGAGCGAAAAGGCUCUCUCUAAUACAGGGGGCUCAUGACGGUACCGUAAGAAUAAGCACCGGCUAACUACGUGCCAGCAGCCGCAGUAACAC